UACAGAGGUCUCAAGCGUUGUUCGGAUUCAUUGGGCGUAAAGGGUGCGUAGGCGGCGCGGGCAGUCAAAUGUGUAAUUCAGGGGCUCAACCCCUGCACUGCGCUUGAUACUUCCGCGCUCGAGCUUUGGAGAGGAGUCUGGAAUUCUCGGUGUAGCAGUGAAAUGCGUGGAUAUCGAGAAGAACACUUAGGGCGUAGGCAAGACUCUGGACAAAUGCUGACGCUCAUGCAGAAGGCUAGGGUAGCGAACGGG
rnacentral:rRNA from 1 species